CAGGACAGGAACAGCACAGGCAACAACAAAGCACACUUUUCCCACAUAUGCCCAUCUGUGCACCUUCACUCUGACCUAGAGGGACCCCGUCUAGA
rnacentral:sRNA from 1 species